rnacentral:rRNA from 1 species
CCUACGGGGGACAGCAGUGAGGAAUAUUGGUCAAUGGACGAGAGUCUGAACCAGCCAAGUAGCGUGAAGGAUGACUGCCCUAUGGGUUGUAAACUUCUUUUAUGUGGGAAUAAAAUGUUCCACGUGUGGGAUUUUGUAUGUACCAUAUGAGUAAGGAUCGGCUAACUCCGUUCCAGCAGCCGCGGUAAGACGGAGGAUCCGAGGGUUGUCCGGAUUUAUUGGGGUUAAAGGGAGCGUAGGUGGAUUGUUAAGUCAGUUGUGAAAGUUUGCGGCUCAACCGUAAAAUUGCAGUUGAAACUGGCAGUCUUGAGUACAGUAGAGGUGGGCGGAAUUCGUGGUGUAGCGGUGAAAUGCUUAGAUAUCACGAAGAACUCCGAUUGCGAAGGCAGUUCACUGGACUGCAACUGACACUGAGGCUCGAAAGUGUGGGUAUCAAACAGGAUUAGAUACCCUGGUAGUC